rnacentral:rRNA from 1 species
AAUGACCGCGGAUCAGGUGAGGAUAC